AGCCCGCUCGCCGGAAGACCAAGGGUUCCUGUCCAACGUUAAUCGGGGCAGGGUGAGUCGACCCCUAAGGCGAGGCCGAAAGGCGUAGUCGAUGGGAAACAGGUUAAUAUUCCUGUACUUGGUGUUACUGCGAAGGGGGGACGGAGAAGGCUAUGUUGGCCGGGCGACGGUUGUCCCGGUUUAAGCGUGUAGGCUGGUUUUCCAGGCAAAUCCGGAAAACCAAGGCUGAGGCGUGAUGACGAGGCACUACGGUGCUGAAGCGACAAAUGCCCUGCUUCCAGGAAAAGCCUCUAAGCAUCAGGUAACAUCAAAUCGUACCCCAAACCGACACAGGUGGUCAGGUAGAGAAUACCAAGGCGCUUGAGAGAACUCGGGUGAAGGAACUAGGCAAAAUGGUGCCGUAACUUCGGGAGAAGGCACGCUGAUAUGUAGGUGAAGCGACUUGCUCGUGGAGCUGAAAUCAGUCGAAGAUACCAGCUGGCUGCAACUGUUUAUUAAAAACACAGCACUGUGCAAACACGAAAGUGGACGUAUACGGUGUGACGCCUGCCCGGUGCCGGAAGGUUAAUUGAUGGGGUUAGCGGUAACGCGAAGCUCUUGAUCGAAGCCCCGGUAAACGGCGGCCGUAACUAUAACGGUCCUAAGGUAGCGAAAUUCCUUGUCGGGUAAGUUCCGACCUGCACGAAUGGCGUAAUGAUGGCCAGGCUGUCUCCACCCGGGACUCAGUGAAAUUGAACUCGCUGUGAAGAUGCAGUGUACCCGCGGCAAGACGGAAAGACCCCGUGAACCUUUACUAUAGCUUGACACUGAACAUUGAGCCUUGAUGUGUAGGAUAGGUGGGAGGCUUUGAAGUGUGGACGCCAGUCUGCAUGGAGCCGACCUUGAAAUACCACCCUUUAAUGUUUGAUGUUCUAACGUUGGCCCGUAAUCCGGGUUGCGGACAGUGUCUGGUGGGUAGUUUGACUGGGGCGGUCUCCUCCUAAAGAGUAACGGAGGAGCACGAAGGUUGGCUAAUCCUGGUCGGACAUCAGGAGGUUAGUGCAAUGGCAUAAGCCAGCUUGACUGCGAGCGUGACGGCGCGAGCAGGUGCGAAAGCAGGUCAUAGUGAUCCGGUGGUUCUGAAUGGAAGGGCCAUCGCUCAACGGAUAAAAGGUACUCCGGGGAUAACAGGCUGAUACCGCCCAAGAGUUCAUAUCGACGGCGGUGUUUGGCACCUCGAUGUCGGCUCAUCACAUCCUGGGGCUGAAGUAGGUCCCAAGGGUAUGGCUGUUCGCCAUUUAAAGUGGUACGCGAGCUGGGUUUAGAACGUCGUGAGACAGUUCGGUCCCUAUCUGCCGUGGGCGCUGGAGAACUGAGGGGGGCUGCUCCUAGUACGAGAGGACCGGAGUGGACGCAUCACUGGUGUUCGGGUUGUCAUGCCAAUGGCACUGCCCGGUAGCUAAAUGCGGAAGAGAUAAGUGCUGAAAGCAUCUAAGCACGAAACUUGCCCCGAGAUGAGUUCU
rnacentral:rRNA from 1 species